rnacentral:lncRNA from 1 species
UGGUAAUACAGACUCACCACUUAACAAAAGACAGCUGGAUCCAAAUUAUUUCUGACAAAAUUGGGACCUGUUCACAUGGCUAAACUUUAUUUGUCCCAGUAGGUAAUCCAAUGAAGGCUAUGGACCAAAGUCUUGGGAAAAGUAGUUUUCAUGGCAGUUUUAUUUUUAAAAACCUUUUACCCCUUUUUUUUUUCCUGAAGUUUCAAAUGAGUUUUCAGUGUUUACAUUUUAGCUACAAUUGGCUGAACUGUAAAGAAAGCUCCAAGUAGCCUUGAAUUAGUAGUAUCAUAAACAAUGAGUUUUAUCUUAACAGCAGUAGCUUAAUAACAGCAAAUUCAAAGCAGGCCGAAAACAAAAAAGAGAUAGC